GGGGAGUAGACUGUGGGCAAGACAUGCAUCAAGGGGCCAGAAGCAGGAAUCGAACCCAGGACACCGCAUCAGGAUAAGCCCCUGUAAAUGGGUCGCCUGCUUAAUUCGUUGAGCUAUACAGCUCUUUAUUUAUAGGCAUAAUGAAGGAGAGAUUGGAAGUUCGGGAGUAGACUGUGGGCAAGACAUGCAUCAAGGGGCCAGAAGCAGGAAUCGAACCCAGGACACCGCAUCAGGAUAAGCCCCUGUAAAUGGGUCGCCUGCUUAAUUCGUUGAGCUAUACAGCUCUUUAUUUAUAGGCAUAAUGAAGGAGAGAUUGGAAGUUCGGGAGUAGACUGUGGGCAAGACAUGCAUCAAGGGGCCAGAAGCAGGAAUCGAACCCAGGACACCGCAUCAGGAUAAGCCCCUGUAAAUGGGUCGCCUGCUUAAUUCGUUGAGCUAUACAGCUCUUUAUUUAUAGGCAUAAUGAAGGAGAGAUUGGAAGUUCGGGAGUAGACUGUGGGCAAGACAUGCAUCAAGGGGCCAGAAGCAGGAAUCGAACCCAGGACACCGCAUCAGGAUAAGCCCCUGUAAAUGGGUCGCCUGCUUAAUUCGUUGAGCUAUACAGCUCUUUAUUUAUAGGCAUAAUGAAAUAGAGAUUGGAAGUUGGGGAGUUGCAUCUGGGCAAGACAUACAUCAAGGGACCAGAAGCAGGAAUCGAACCCAGGACGCUGCAUCAGGAAAAGCCCCUGUAAUUGGGUCACCUGUUUAACUCGUUGAGCUAUACGGGUGCCCAAUGAUUUCUCUUUUAAAGACAACUGCUCUAUAGUGUUUUUCACAGCCCAUUUUACAUUAUUUCAUCAUAUGGCAUGUUUUUACGACAUGUUGAAAAAAUGACAUUCUCAGUCUUUUUUCAGUGACGUACCCCCUGUGUACUGUUUUUUCAUUCAAGUACCCCCCAACCAAGCAAAGCAUUUUAGGCUUACAAAAAGAGACAAAGUACAGCACUACGUCAUCAGUUUGAUAUAUCAAUGCAAAAAAAUGCUAAUUUGUCGCCGUCUUUCUUCAACUACUUGGAGAUAAGAAACUAUGAAAAAUAAAUAGAUUCAACUGUAAAUAAAGAUUUCUACACAGAAAUCAUCAAACGUAAAGUAAAAAUGUCAUAGUUUGGUAUGUUGUCCAAAAGUGGACUAAAAACAUCAUAGUUUACUAUGUCAUCCAAAAUUGGACUAAAAUGGUUUAUUGUCGUUCAAAAUGUCACAUAUCGUACAUGUGUAGUACAGUACUGGGGUACCCUACAUGUACAAUACCUGAUAUUCAUCCUCUUGAU